AUUGAACGCUGGCGGCAUGCCUUACACAUGCAAGUCGAACGGUAACAGGUCUUCGGAUGCUGACGAGUGGCGAACGGGUGAGUAAUACAUCGGACCGUGCCUAGUAGUGGGGGAUAACUACUCGAAAGAGUGGCUAAUACCGCAUGAGAUCUAAGGAUGAAAGCAGGGGAUCGCAAGACCUUGUGCUACUAGAGCGGCCGAUGGCAGAUUAGGAAGUUGGUGGGAUAAAAGCGUACCAAGCCGACGAUCUGCAGCUGGUCUGAGAGGACGAUCGGCCACACUGGGACUGAGAAACGGCCCAGACUCCUACGGGAGGCAGCAGUGGGGAAUUUUGGACAAUGGGCGCAAGCCUGAUCCAGCAAUGCCGCGUGCAGGAUGAAGGCCUUCGGGUUGUAAACUGCUUUUGUACGGAACGAAAAGCCCCGGGUUAAUACCUUGGGGUCAUGACGGUACCGUAAGAAUAAGCACCGGCUAACUACGUGCCAGCAGCCGCCGUAA
rnacentral:rRNA from 1 species